rnacentral:rRNA from 1 species
CACUAUCGUUAACUGAAUACAUAGGUUAACGAGGCGAACCGGGGGAACUGAAACAUCUAAGUACCCCGAGGAAAAGAAAUCAACCGAGAUUCCCCCAGUAGCGGCGAGCGAACGGGGAGCAGCCCAGAGUCUGAAUCAGCUUGUGUGUUAGUGGAACGGUCUGGAAAGUCCGACGGUACAGGGUGAUAGUCCCGUACACCAAAAUGCACAGGCUGUGAACUCGAAGAGUAGGGCGGGACACGUGGUAUCCUGUCUGAAUAUGGGGGGACCAUCCUCCAAGGCUAAAUACUCCUGACUGACCGAUAGUGAACCAGUACCGUGAGGGAAAGGCGAAAAGAACCCCGGCGAGGGGAGUGAAAAAGAACCUGAAACCGUGUACGUACAAGCAGUGGGAGCACCUUCGGGUGUGACUGCGUACCUUUUGUAUAAUGGGUCAGCGACUUAUAUUCUGUAGCAAGGUUAACCGUAUAGGGGAGCCGCAGGGAAACCGAGUCUUAACUGGGCGUUAAGUUGCAGGGUAUAGACCCGAAACCCGGUGAUCUAGC